AGGAAUGAGUGACGUUUCCGGUCGAGUGUCUGAAGAAGGGUCUCGGCCCGAAACGUCACCCAUUGCUUCCCUCCAGAGAUAUCGCCUGUCCCGCUGAGUUACUCCAGCAUUUUGUGUCUAUCUUCGGUGUAAACCAGCAUCUGCAGUUCCUUCUGACAAACCUCAGGACUCAAAGUUCUCACACAUUUUAAGAGUCACCAACUAGCACUUGGCUGCUUCCCGCACAUGCCCCAUUAUUGCAUCCCGUCACAACGCUUCCCAGAGAUAUAGACACAAAAAGCUGGGAGUAACACAGCGGGACAGGCAGCAUCUCUGGAGAGAAGUAAUGGGUGAAGUUUCGGGUUCGAGACCCUUCUUCAGACCCGAAACAUCACCCAUUCCUUCUCUCAAGAGAUGCUGCCUGUCCCGCUGAGUUACUCCAGCAUUUUGUGCCAUCUUCUGUUUGAACCAGCAUCUGCAGUUCCUUCUUGCACAACCUUUCCCAGCACCUGUUUAAAUCCCUGCAACUCAUGGACCUGAGACGCGUGGACGCGCAGCGGUGCUCGUGCUCGUGCCCGCGCGGGGGGCAGGUGCGCGCCGGGCAGGAGGGCGUCGGCGGCGCGCACGGCUGAGUGGCAGGUACAUACGGGUUCCGCUGGGAGCCCAGAGACGGAGAUUAGUUUUAAACAUGGCUUUAGCUUGCAAAGAGAAGGAGGUGGUUUAAAAAAAAAACUCCGCACAUUUACCCUCUUUGCAAACAUGCAUCAACUGCUAAACACACGGAAUCUUUCGAUCGUUCCACUUAGUUACACUACGUGCAAAGAAUAAAAAUGCAUGAAGCCGCCCCCAAGAAUGCAAGGUAUGAGGUUCAGCAUUUACAAAAGUGAAGACAGACCCAUUUGCUUCAAACAUCAUGGAGGGGCGAAAGACGCCAGACGAUUCGAAAUCAUUUCCAAUAUCACACCAAUGAAAGAGGAAAGUCUAUCCUGGACUGGAUCUCACAGGGAGCCAAUGAAGAGAGGGAGAAAAAUACUGAGAGGUACAGACAUACCUGAAGAAGGCAGGCCUUCAGUCAUCAAAAGUGACUUCAACAGUUCAACCACUCAAUAUUAUCCUUGUGGAUGUUCGCUACAGUGGUUUGAUGCUGAAAUAAUGAUCAGAUGGGAGCACAUA